GGGGGACUGAGGGGGAGGGGCGGGGGCCGCCGGGACAAAGGAGCGGCCCGGCUAGGCCACCGGCUCCGUCGCAACCCCGGCGGCGCCUCCUUCCUUUGCAGCCGAGGGAGAGAGGGAGGAUUUUGCCGGGUCCUGCUCACCUUAAUAUCCUUCUCGGCCUGCCUUAGGCGCUGCUUCUCCAAAGCCCCUUGUGUGUCCGGCCGGCCGGCUUUGAACCCUGGAAGCCCUGCCUCCCAGGAGCCGGCUCAGACAGACGGGGACACUUAGUCACUCACCUUGUUAAGGUUUCGUGGGGCCAAAAACGUUUCCCUCUGGAAGGGAAGUAGCUAAAGCCGAUAUUUUUCUGGUGGGAGGAUUUGCUUACGUCUUUGAGAGAGGGGAAGACUUAAGGAGGAGACGGGUGCCAGGAAAGAUGAAGAAAGUUGUAGAGGAGAAACUGUAGGUGGACAUGGGGGCUGGAGAAGAGACAGCUAAAAGAAGCAUGGCUGGGCACAUUUUGAUAAGAGGAUCGCAACCGCUGCCGGCCGGCAUCAUACUGAAACCCGGUUACUCAGAAUGGGCUGCUGGCAGGCUGCCAUACUGUUAGCCGAAAAUGCGCAUUGCCACGUGGUGAGCUGCAGCACCCUGUUGGGAACAGAACUCGAAUGAUGAGAUUUGUGAAACUGAGAAGCAGUGUUUGAUUUGGGGAAGAUUAGAAGCUGUGAUGCUCAUUUGACCGCCAGUCUUGAGGAAGAAAAAAAGACAACCCAUCUAUGGAAAUGUUGCCCAUUGCUCGCCAGCAAAAUUAAAUCUUUGGUUAGAAAACACCACACACUGGAGGACCAUGAAGUGCUCCAGCCCUGCUGGCAUAGCCAGACCACCUCAGACAACACACGCCACAAAAUCCAAUUGCACCUCGGUCCCACCAAGGGGAAGUCCAGCUCUCCUGCCUCUCAGUGGAGAAGUGUAAUGUAUCCUCGGCCCUUGGAUCCAGUUUAUGAAACUUGGAAGAUUUGAAAGUCAAACAUAAGGAGCAGAGAAAUUGUUCCAAAAGUAAGGCUGGAGAUGGGGCAGCAAAGAGUACCUGAGUCAUGCCGGAGAAAGGAAAUGAAAGGGACAACAGGCAACACCGAACAAAGGCAGAAGAGACACCAGGAUGGUGAAGGUCAAAGGGCUGGAAGGUUAGAGGUGAUACUUCUGCAUGAAAGGACCGAGGAAGAACAGUGAACUUUCACAGAGUCGCUCAAAAUUGAGGUCUGUGGUUCUGACUUCAGAACUACCCCCAGACCUCAUCAUUACUCAGAGACUGCAAAAGAGGUCUGGGCUAGAUUCAGGUUGGAGACAAACAUCACACACACACACCCAUAUACAAACAGAAGCAGAAUAUAACACACUUCUAAGGUGUUGUGGAUGAUUUCUUUCUAGGAAGGGACUCUGGAAUUAAUUAGAAGCGUUGAGAGGUUUGUUCCCAGGCCAAGGAGAGGACUGUCCCCCAAAUUUUCAAACCAGAAAUGAACUUUAGGAUCCCAGCUUUUAAUAUAUUCUUUGGAUUGUUUUAAUAC
ensembl:lncRNA